rnacentral:ncRNA from 1 species
AUAUACAUCAUAAAAAAGAAGAGUAAAACAGAUGAUAUGUUUAAGAGAGUUAAUGGUUGGUGAAAAUUAACACAUAUGCUGAUUUGAAAUAACACUUUUUAGAGACAGAAGAACACAUAUAAAUGUUAGUAGAACUGUACGGAUCGCUUAUCCGUUAUAUAAGCAAGUUGAGCGCUAGAUUAGCUAUGUUAAUCUAGAACUAAGGUGGUACCGCGAUUAUUCGUCCUUAGA